GUUGAGGAUAUAGCUCAGUGGUAGAGUGCUUACCUGGCAUGCAUGAGGCCCUGGAUUUGAUCCCCAGCAACA
rnacentral:tRNA from 1 species